AGGAAUUGAUGGGUCGCUUUCCUGUUGUCUCAGAUAUGUCACGGAUUCCCAAUUAAUUCACAGCCUACAUUCUCAUAAAUCAAAUCACCGAAUGGCUGGCACUAUGGGAAUAGGUGAAAGCAGAUGCAGGGGUCCUAUGUGUUACAGUCCAUGCACUGCAGCGUAAGAAUAAACAGCCUCCAGCCGACACCUACACUAAGCCAGCCCCCGGCCUGUUCACGGACCUCUCCUCUCCAUUAGGUGGUCACCGUGGCGCAAGUGGUCCCAGUAAAGCGGGCAGGUGGUAGUGGGGAGAGUCUGCACCGGAGCCGGUAGUCCUAGGGCUCAGCCUCUUGCUCUGAUCACAGUAGGGAGAACACGCCAGCCAGCAGGAACCAAGAUGACACCGGCCUCUGUGCUCCUGCGCCAAGUGGAGAUGCUAUCCCGGAAGCAGGAGCGGCCUGGAGCAGCGGAGCAGGUAGAGAGGGCUCACAGCAGUCGGAUCAACACUGGUGGCUUGAUCUUUCAAAAUCGCCUUAAGGUGGGUCUAUAGGCAGACUGUCCGGGACAUGUGUUACAUUCUGGGACAAUCCCACCAAAAACUGGACGAGUAGUAGUCCUAUUGUAAAUGAUUACAGAACAUUAAAGCACUGAACUAAAA